AAGUGCCAUUCUUAACGGGAUGGCUUUUCAUUAGUGUAAAGAGCUUUUGGAAUAAGGGCUGGGCAAGACCGGUGCCAGCCGCCGCGGUAACACCGGCAGCUCUAGUGGUAGCAGUUUUUAUUGGGCCUAAAGCGUCCGUAGCCGGUUUAAUAAGUCUCUGGUGAAAUCCUGUAGCUUAACUGUGGGAAUUGCUGGAGAUACUAUUAGACUUGAGACCGGGAGAGGUUAGAGGUACUCCCAGGGUAGAGGUGAAAUUCUGUAAUCCUGGGAGGACCGCCUGUUGCGAAGGCGUCUAACUGGAACGGUUCUGACGGUGAGGGACGAAAGUUAGGGGCGCGAACCGGAUUAGAUACCCGGGUAGUCCUAACUGUAAACGAUGCGGACUUGGUGUUGGGGUGGCUUUGAGCUGCUCCAGUGCCGAAGGGAAGCUGUUAAGUCCGCCGCCUGGGAAGUACGGUCGCAAGACUGAAACUUAA
rnacentral:rRNA from 1 species